GACGAACGCUGGCGGCGUGCUUAACACAUGCAAGUCGAACGGAAAGGCCCUGCUUUUGUGGGGUGCUCGAGUGGCGAACGGGUGAGUAAUAUAUAGGUAACAUGCCUUUUACAAAGAAAUAACAGUUGGAAACGAGUGCUAAUGUCUUAUAUGCCUUUAGGACGUAAGUCUGCAAGGGAAAGAUUUAUCGGUAAAAGAUUGGCCUGUACAGUAUCAGUUAGUUGGUGGGGUAAUGGCCGACCAAGACAAUGACGCUUAACUGGUUUGAGAGGAUGAUCAGUCACACUGGAACUGAGACACGGUCCAG
rnacentral:rRNA from 1 species